UACGGAGGGUGCAAACGUUGCUCGGAAUCAUUGGGCGUAAAGCGCACGUAGGCGGCCUGUUAAGUCGGGUGUGAAAGCCCUGGGCUCAACCCAGGAAGUGCACUCGAAACUGGCGGGCUUGAAUAUGGAAGAGGGUCGCGGAAUUUCCGGUGUAGAGGUGAAAUUCGUAGAUAUCGGGAGGAACACCAGUGGCGAAGGCGGCGACCUGGGCCAAUAUUGACGCUGAGGUGCGAAAGCGUGGGGAGCAAACAGG
rnacentral:rRNA from 1 species